rnacentral:tRNA from 1 species
AAGAUUUUAAGUUAAAUUAUAAACUAUUAACCUUCAAAGUUAAAAUUACCUAAUCUUUGUAAAUCUUA